CCUACGGGCGGCAGCAGUGAGGAAUAUUGGUCAAUGGGCGGAAGCCUGAACCAGCCAAGUCGCGUGAGGGAUUAAGGCCCUGCGGGUCGUAAACCUCUUUUGCCGGGGAGCAGUGGUCCGGACGCGUCCGGACCGGGGGAGUACCCGGAGAAAAGGCAUCGGCUAACCCCGUGCCAGCAGCCGCGGUAAUACGGAGGAUGCGAGCGUUAUCCGGAUGUAUUGGGUUUAAAGGGUGCGCAGGCGGAAUGUCAAGUCAGCGGUAAAAUUUCGGGGCUCAACCCCGUCGUGCCGUUGAAACUGGCGUUCUUGAGUGAGCGAGAAGUAUGCGGAAUGCGUGGUGUAGCGGUGAAAUGCAUAGAUAUCACGCAGAACUCCGAUUGCGAAGGCAGCAUACCGGCGCUCAACUGACGCUCAUGCACGAAAGCGUGGGUAUCGAACAGGAUUAGAUACCCCAGUAGUC
rnacentral:rRNA from 1 species